GACAGAGGGGGCAAGCGUCGCUCGGAAUUACUGGGCGUAAAGGGCGCGUAGGCGGGAUGGCAAGUCGGUCGUGAAAUCCUUCGGCCCAACCGAAGAACGUCGAUCGAUACUGCUGUUCUAGAGGAUUGCAGAGGAGACUGGAAUUCCCGGUGUAGCGGUGAAAUGUGUAGAGAUCGGGAGGAACACCGGUGGCGAAGGCGGCAUCCUGGACCGGUAUUGACGCUGAGGCGCGAAAGCCAGGGGAGCAAACGGG
rnacentral:rRNA from 1 species